rnacentral:rRNA from 1 species
AUCCUUCGGGAUUAGUGGCAGACGGGUGAGUAACGCGUGGGAAGCUACCUUGUGGUAGGGAACAACAGUUGGAAACGACUGCUAAUACCCUAUGAGCCCUAUGGGGGAAAGAUUUAUCGCCAUGAGAUGUGCCCGCGUUAGAUUAGCUAGUUGGUAAGGUAAUGGCUUACCAAGGCGACGAUCUAUAGCUGGUCUGAGAGGAUGAUCAGCCACACUGGGACUGAGACACGGCCCAGACUCCUACGGGAGGCAGCAGUGGGGAAUAUUGGACAAUGGGGGCAACCCUGAUCCAGCCAUGCCGCGUGAGUGAUGACGGCCUUAGGGUUGUAAAGCUCUUUCAGCAGUGAAGAUAAUGACAUUAACUGCAGAAGAAGCCCCGGCUAACUUCGUGCCAGCAGCCGCGGUAAUACGAAGGGGGCUAGCGUUGUUCGGAAUCACUGGGCGUAAAGCGUACGUAGGCGGACUGAUCAGUCAGGGGUGAAAUCCCGGGGCUCAACCCCGGAACUGCCUUUGAUACUGUCAGUCUUGAGAUCGAGAGAGGUGAGUGGAACUCCGAGUGUAGAGGUGAAAUUCGUAGAUAUUCGGAAGAACACCAGUGGCGAAGGCGGCUCACUGGCUCGAUACUGACGCUGAGGUACGA